UAUAUAUAUAUAUAUAUAGAGAGAGAGAGAGAACUAGGUUGGAAUACUAUCAACAGUAUCAAACUAUUGGUGAUAUUAGUUUUUUAGUAUCUCUCAAAAAAAAUAAUAUUAGUUUUUAGUCCUUGAAAUGAGAAAUGUACAGUUAGGAUGAUGUGAGCCUUUUAGGGUUGAGUGGGUGGUUGGUUGAAUAGUAUAAUCGAAUCGAUGAAAAAUGAUAAAAAAGAUAAAUCUAUCGACAGAGAACUUGAUAGCACCAAAUGCUUUGUACUAUCGAUAGUAUCCCAGUCGGACUAUAUAUAUAUAUAUAUAUAUAUAUAUAUAUAUUGAAGGAUAAGAAAUUCUUCACUUAAAAUUUUAGAUAAUUUUAUUUUUGUUAAAUAUUUUGUAUAUAUCUAAGUUAUGGGUAACAUACUAAUAAUAUAUAACUAAGCUGCGCAUGUAUCAAGACAUUCAUUUAAAGUUUCAGAUUAU
rnacentral:lncRNA from 1 species